GUUUUAUACAGAAUUGCUUUAUAGUUUAUGCAGCAUUUAAUGCAAUUACAUCAGAUUUUACUUUAAAUUACGGAAUUAAAUUACAGUUUUUAGAUUACAUAGAAAUUAAUUACACACAACACUGUAUAACAGUAAUUCAAAUGUAAACUUACGCAUUGACUCGAGCAGCUAUUUUCUCCCAAGCUAACUCUCUGUCCUUCGCCGCUGCAGCCGUGUUGCUUUUUUUUUAAAAUAUAUGUUCGUACUCUCCAUAUGCUUGCAUAAGCACAUCCAGUUCUGCUGGUGAAAAAUAUGAAGACCUCUUUUUGUCUGGCGCUGUUGCCAUGGUGACUCGUAAUAUCUGCGCUCCAUUGAUAAUGGCUUUUUAUAGUUGUGGUGCACGCGAGUUAAAAAUGUAAUGGAAGUCGUUUUGGAUAAAAAGCGUCAGCUAAAUAACCUGUAAUGUAAUAACAAAUCUUAUUCUAUAAUAAAAUACUGUUUGUAAAAAUUAGUUCAAACUUUGAAAGUUCAUAAAUCUCCCUGUUGCUAGUACUUUUUAGGUCAGUGUGUUAUGAGUGAAAAAUCUUUCUGAAUGAAAAUCUGUUGCCAGUGAUUGGUGGAACGAGCCCGUCAUGUAGGUGGCAUCCGGCUCCACAUCAGUCACCAGCAGCUGGUAGCUGUAGUUCAGCAGAAGGAGCUUUGCAAGCUAAUAAAAUGCAUUUACUGAAGUAAUUAGAGAAGAGGUAAACUUGUUUUCUGGUCAAAACCUAAAUUUCAGCUUGAUUUUGAUCAAAUACAAAUAAUAAAAUGAUCCAUGCAAAUAUCUGACUAUGUAUAAAGACACAAUACGUCAAUGCAGGGUUCAAGAAUGAAAACAUUUUUUUUUUUUUUGUCAUUUCACAAAAAGUGGAAAGCAAUGAUGCGCCGUGUGCCACGAUUCUUGAAGAGUAAAUGUUCCCCCCUACAGACACAAUUUUAAACUAUAGUUUUUCAUUUGCACUUAUAUAGCUAUAUAAGUGCAAAUGAAAUGAUGGACCUUUUUCAAGGAAAAAAACACAGCACAAACACUCGUGUGUUUCUGUUUGGUCCUCGGUCCCUUUGCUCAGCCGCAGAGUGUGUCUCAGAGACCUAAGGGCUGGCAACACAUUGGCUGUCCCUGUCACUUUGAAGCACUGGUCAUCAUUGUUGUUGCCACAUUGGAUCAAUCACACAACAGAGCCCAAAUUCUGCAUAGCUCAGACAGUUUACCAAUGGUGCUAUUGUGUCUUGCCUUGCAUACCGUAGCGGCCCAGGGCAUGGAGGCAAGAUUCAGUAAUCAAGGCACAAAAGGAAUCCUCUAAGUGGGUGAAGGGGGAUGGUGUCAAACUAUAAAAAAAAAAAAAAAACUUUUGGCAUCAAUGUCUACCCCCUGUGUGGGGAGAGCCGAAGAGAGAGGUGAGCCCGCUGGAAUACUUCCCAUCCGACACAGCUCCUCUCGAGAGGUUCUGCUUCCCAGUUCAGUGAACAAACGCUCACUUUAAUUAGCUGCAGGUGUCACCAGUGCCAGGUGCCGAGUGGUUACAGCACCUGCACAGGAGAGAAGACUCUCUCCAUCCCCUCCCCCAACCUGUGCCUGGGGAUCCGCCCCCUGUGCUGUGUAGUCACCUUUGUCCCCUGGUUUGCCAGUCCCUUGAUUACACUAUAUGUAUAUAUUGUGUAAUCAAGGGACUACGUUCCCCAGCAAGAUAAAAAUCGGUAUACAGUCAAAAUGUUUUUACAUCUUGAACACCUCAGUCGGGAUUCAUUUGGGGAUAUUUUUCCAAGACAGAUGUCCUUCCCCCACGGGCCAAGUAGAACAGCUUUGCAUUUUCUUUUAAAAUAAUAGAAAGAAAGGAAGGAAAAGGAAGCUGUGGGAUUAAAGUUGGACACAGAGCUUAACCAAUUUAAAAGGAGCAUGAUGUUUUCUUAUAAACAACUAAAAAUAAUUUACAAGACUUUUGAAGCUCAUUGAAUUUUAAACAGGGAUGAUGGAAUUAUGACUUAAAUCUAGUCACAAUAUCUUUGUAAGCUACUUUUACGAAGAUAACAUGAAGAGGUGACCUGAAUUAUUCAUGAGGUUUUUAUUUCUUUUUAUGUUUUAGUUUUUUCACACUACAAUGUGGCCAAAGUACAUCAGUCUCGGGUAGAGCAUGGAUCGGGCCGACUUUUUCUGUCCGUGCCCGGCCCGCGUCCCACAGAGUUGGGCCCGAGUCCGACCCGAGUCCGACAGCCUUUAAACUAUUUUGUCCGAAAACGACCUGAGCCCGACGGAGUCGAUGCCUCAACUGUUCAUAAUAAUGACACAUUCACAAACGUUUUUUUUUUAUAAAUAGCUUGCCUUUAUUAAACUCCGGCAUCAACAGAUAAAUAUACUCGCUCAAACAAACAAGCGCUGUUUGGGAACCGAGGUUCUACAUCAUGGGAAGCAGAUGUUGACUUCACUACUUAUUAAGAUAUUUUAAAUAUGGAAUGUUCAAUGUCUUAUCGCGCUGAUGUGUCCGAGCCAGACUAUAUUUUCUAAAUAUUUAUCCGGACCCGGCCCAACCCAUCGGGUCCCGACGGGUACCGACGGGCUCGGGUCGGGUAUCCACCUCUAGUCCCCAGCACACAUGUGCAAUUAAAGAUGCAUCUUGUGCUUAAAAUGUGAGUCCGGAUUGAUUUCUCAGAACUAAUAACAACCAGGCUGUGUUACUAGUAACUACUCCAGCAUUGUAGUGCCCAUUAGGAAUGCCUGGCCGCUCUGUGCGAGCUUAUCCCUUGGCCACCAGAGGUGCUGCCUGCAGUGUUGUCGAGAAGCGCUAAUCGCUUGUUGACUCCAGGGAAGUUAAGAAGAAAUUGUAGUAAUUAAGUCAAGAGGAAAAAGGGAAUUCCCAGGCAGGUGCUCUGUUUUGGCCAACCUAAGGGAGACCGGAUGACCAAUUUAACAUCAAUAGUAUCCUAAAAUAUAUUUUAUAUAUUUGAGGCAAGAAAUAGGUUGUCGUUUGACAAUUUGUGUGUUGUGAGACAUGGUGAGUGUUUCUUCUGGCCGGUGUGAUGUGCUUGGUUUUGAGUCGACCGAGUUAAACAUGCCAGCCGGGUUACAAACUUUCAGCAGUGCGUAUUUUAAAUGUAUAAUAUUUUGCAUUUAUAAUUUUACUUUAUUACAGGGACUGUUAAGUGUAGUUUAGCGCUGUAAUUUAUAACUGGUGAAGAACGAACCCAGAUGCAAUAUGGCAGACAGCAGUUGUAGUUCCCAACAGAGUAUUUUAUUUUCCUCAAUGCAACCAAACAGUCACCAGGAAAAGACGUGGUCGGGGACAGAAGACUGGGGGAAUUACCAGGGCAGGCGCAAGAAGGGGUAGUCCAAGACAGGCAGGGCCAACACCGCUGGGAACUAUGUCCAAGAGAAAAUGCAGGAAGGUCUGGCAUAAGUGCAGAGAACGAUCUGGCAGCGAGUGAGUGAGUGGGGUUUAGAUACUGAAGGGAGUGAGUAGAGUAGACAGGUAAGUGAUUGGGCUGACAGGGUGAAUGUGACUAGCAGGUCUACAGAAUGAACUGAUUAGGUGGAGUGAGGGGUGGAAAUGACAGGGAAGGACUGACAGUAAUUAUUAACUUAACUACAUUUAUUUAGGAAUGUGCAUAAUAAACAUCAACAUGACACUUAUCUUGGUGUCCGUCCAGCCACCACAGCACCCCGACCCCUGGCUCAGAAAAAAAUCAUCUCCGCCACCAAGCCUGAUUCAUGUCAAAAUGUGGAUGAGACAGAGGAAACAGUAUUCUUCCUCUCUGUCUCACUGGCUCCCUCUAUCUCACUGCAUCUAUCUAUCUUCGCCACAGGCUACUCUUUGUUAUAGGGUGCACAAUUAAAAACUUUGCCUCAACACUGAUUAAAGGUUUAUUUAAUCCAACCUCUUUCUUUGUGGGGGAAGUUACAACGGGGGGUGGCAGUGGCGCAAACGGUACAGCCGACGAGGGUGUGGUGCAAAACAAAUUGAUAUAAAAAAAAGACAACCAGCCUCUUGUCUGUCAGAAGUUCGCGAGUUUGACAUAUGUGAUUUAGACUGUUUGUUCUGUCCACUGAAUGUUAUGUUUUAGCAUUUGAAGAUGCAUUUUGGUUAAAACUGGUAACCGAUUGUGGCAGCCAAAAUGUUGCGAUUUCAUAUGAAAAUAGAUGGAUUAGGUGUCCGUCACACGACUGGAUGGGGAAUAAUUUCAAUCUCGGCUCUUUAAGAGAUUAGAAUCAAUUAUAUCAGAACUAAACGUUUCUUUAUUUUAAGAAAAGGAAAAAAGAACAUAUCUUUUCGCCCAAACCAGGGUCCACCGUUUUGGUAUCCCUAGUAUAACUUGUAUACAGUGCUGUAGUGGUAAAAUUAGAGGUGGGUAAACUUUUGUGAUCAUACAGACCUCGACGCGAUGCGAAGCAACGCAACACAAAGCGUCGCGACUCUGUAAGGUUGUCCUGGCUAUAUUGCAUUAUGUUAUCAGUAAAAGUCAUAUACAAUCAAUGACAGUGAAUAAAUGUGUUAGUAGUUUGUAGUUUAUUAAAUUUAAGAAAACAGUAAAGAAAAGUAUGUCAACACAACACAACAAGACAAUUGCAGAUUAAGAACUAUCUACAUAUGGAGUCUCCCUUUUACAGUAGUGCCCAGAGGGCCUCCUUGUCCUCCACGUCAGGUCCUGCCUUGCACAGAGGAGCCGGGGUUCAUGGCUCCUCUGUGCUUCUCCUCUCUCUAUUCGACCUGGUGUUUCUCCUCUCCCUGUGCUCUCUGCAUCAUUACCUGUCCUAUCACUGCCUGAAAAAAUUUGUUGAAUUUAAGAGUUGUGGGGCUGAGAACACCAGUUAAGCAGCCUGUCAAUAACACUGACAACAUAAGUUAAAGGAACACUCAUGUACUACCUAUGUCAUCGUAAAUAGCCUAUACAGCAUGUUUUUUUUUCACAUUGAGAACUGACUUGUUUUCUAAUCUAUGUUUACAGUCUAUUUCGCUUACAGGCUACUCUACACCUUUCAUGACUUCAAAUAAUUGAUUAAGCAUAUAGGCCUAUUCAGUGAAGCAACAGUUUUGCUCCCCGCUCACGUUUUUUAUGCGAGAGCAGGCUGUCAUCAUGAAAGUAAAAAACUAAUAUAUUUGUCCUUGACCGCGAAAAUGGAAGAUUCUAUAGCUAAACUAAAACAUUUCACUUAGCAUUUCUCUUAGCUAUGUCUAACUGUCUUGCACAUAAUCUGUCGACAAUUUUUCAAUGAAUUAGCCUAAUCUGCAGCAAUAUGCAUGAGGACAAUUACUCAUUUUAUUAGGCCUAUUUAGAUGGGACCGGGAAGGCUGGCUUGUUACCUGCAUCAUCGUAUUUGAAAGCACGUUAUUAAUAGAGUUUGUCCCUGUCUUAAUGCGAUGUUGUGCGAACCAAGACAACGUUUGAAAACGUGAAUUGAUCUUCUUCAGUCUUACUUUGUACUUGAGGCCUUUUGCGGGCAUCUGUGGGAGUGGGAGCACUCGAUGGUCUCUUCAAAUAUCGCCUGAUAUCCAUUGCGGUAAUCCAUUCCGAACAGGUAGGCAGGCAGGCUAAUCCAGUGGUCCCCAACCACCGGACCGGUACCGGUCCGUGGGCUGUUUGGUACCGGGCCGCACCACAGAAAGCUUAUAUAUUUUAUUUUGAAAAUUGACCGGAUUUUCUCCUAAUCAUGUGCGCGCGUCACUGGCGUUUUUCUUGUCCUUUUACCGUGCACGACCAGCGAACACAGAGCGCACGACUACUACCCCCCCGUCGGCCGUUCCGCCCGCAACGACUACUACACCCCCCCCCGUCGGACCUUCUCGACCGGUCCGCGAAAUAUUGUCUGACAUGAAACUGGUCCGUGAGGUAAAAAAGGUUGGGGACCACUGGGCUAAUCCACAACGUGUAUGUGUUUACAUACCUCCUGGAUCCUGAUUGGUGUCGCUGCUGCAGCCGCAAGGCACUGAUUGGAUGCUCACAGACCGUAAUACAGCGCAGAUGAAAAUGAUUCAGACUACGGCGUUUAAAUGUUCAACAAUAGGAAACGUAGUCUUAGCUGUUUUAAAAUUACACCAAGUUUAUUUCGGUUUAUUCCAACGGAAGAAUACAAGGCGCAGGUAACUUUGAGGUGCGUAAACGCCACUUAGAGGUGGGUAAACGCUAUUUAGAGGUGCGUAAACGCUAUUUCCAAAAUUCCAGAGGUGCGUAAACAGCGUUUACGUGUGUUUACCCUCCACUACAGCCCUGCUUGUAUACAUACAACAUACAAACAACCCAAACUGUUUAAAGACAUCCUUAAAGAAACCCCAGAUAGCAAAAGCAAGCCGCGCCGCUCUGGCGGUAUCAUAAACUCCGGAACUGAUAUGCAAAAAGGAUCCGGGGCGGGCUCAUAAUAAUACAUUUUAUUCAUGACUGAGUAGUAGAAUUUUGUUGUCAAUCCAGAAGGAGACAGGCAGCCAGUGUAGUGAGUGUCCAUCCUACGAUGAGUGCUAUGUGUUCAUAUUUCUGGACUCUCAUCAGGAUCCUGGCAGCGCUAUUUUGGAUGUAUUGUAGUUCCAGGAUAUUUUUGUCAGUGAUUCCAGUUGAAAGUGAAUAACAGUAGUCCAGUCUUGAGGUGAUAAAGGCAUGGACAAGCUUCUCUGUAUCUGACGGGGUCAAAGUGGGGCAGAGUUUGAAGAUGCUUUUGAGAUGAUAGAAUGAUGUUUGCACAGUCAUUUGGAUGGAGGAUGACUGGCGUGGAGUGCCAACAAAAAGGGCUUCGGUUUUGGAACUGUUUAGCUGGAGAAAGUUGUUCAUCCAUGCCUUUAUCUCCUUAAGUCAGUCGGUGAGACAUGAUAUGGCUGCAGAUGGGCUUGGGGCAGUCUUGAUGCAUCAGCAUCCAAGAUGAAGAUCCGGCCCAUGUCCGGCUUGAAUCUGUACCGGAUUGUUCUUCAAUGCUCUUCUCAACAUCCCCACUGAGCAGCCUAUGUGACAUGAUUUGUGUCAUGUCCUUUGAUGGUUUCCAGGGAGGAACUCUAAAAUAGAUUAAAAACAGUAAUAUUAUAUCUAAUAUGCAAUAGAAUGUUUAAAAAAAAAAAUGCCAUCAAACUGCCUUAAUCUUUUUUAGCACUUUGUUCCAGCUGGACUUUUAAUACAAUUGUAGUUAUUUAUGGGUUUUUAGUUAAAAAUAAAAUCCUCCUUUUAAACCAUGCUUUUAAGUCUUGUGAUCCAUGCUGUUCUUCCUCUGGUGAAAAAUAACCUGUUUUUAUGGAGACCUAGACUCUGCAACUUUUCUGGCGUUGCUGGUAUCUUUUUUUUUAUAAAUGUAUCUUAUGUUUUAUUAGAUUUUAAGUCCCCCGCCUCACAGGGCAGCUCUUACUCACACCGGCUUUGGCUUUCUCUUUAUUAGGAAUUGCCUCUUCCUGCUGUAGAGUGGAUGUGUGCAAUACUGUAUAUUUUGUCAUCCUUUGUCUUACUUCGAAGUAAUGACCUAAAGUCAAAAUAACAGAAUUUAACAGAAUAAAUUCAAAUGUUUUUCCCCUCAUAAUUAUAAACAAGAUAAAUUAGGGCCAGUUCCUCUGCAUUUUGGACAGCCCUAUCCAUUCUUCGGUCCCCCCCUGUAACGAGGCCCUGUCCACUCUUCUGUCCCCCCUGUAACAAGGCCAAAGUCAGUCACCAUCAUUCUAUCUUCUAUCACCUCUGUAGCACCACUGCUACGGUUUGGUUCCUGAUGAACUCAAUAAAGUAGAACAGCCUGAAUUAUUAAGAGAAAAAAACGACCAGUGUCAGUCACAGAAAUACAACUUUCUGUUUAACUUUAGAAAUCAAUACUUAACAAUGCUCUAUUGGCAGGAGUAUGUGAAUUAACUUAGUGCUUGAAAACAGAGGCGUGCAGUAAAAUGUGAUUAAACAGAAAUGGGCUUGUUGUACACAUUGAAGACAAGCUUACACAAAGUACUUGCCAGGGUUAGCUUUACCUACGCACAGCAUAGCUGUAGCCAAAGUGACUCAUACAACACAAUGAGAUCUGCAUGCAACUUUACCUUCCUCUUUCAGCACAGCACAAUGCGCACAACAAAGAGACCCUACAUCUACUAAGCAUGGGGAAACCCGCUCCUCCAGGCUGCCUGUUUUGUGCCUGCCGCGUUUUCCCCAAUUCAAAUAUUGCAGGCACGUAACAGGCCGCCGAAAUCUAGGACACAUGCAACUGUACCCAAAUCGUGUCCUCAGCAGGUCCCCCCUUUGACGAUGAUAUUUUAGUAGGCGGGGCGGAUACGGUGCGUAUGGCCAAAACCAGAGCGGACUCCAGGCUGGAUCUGGCGGGCUGACUGCGGAUCCGGCCUGGAGUCCACUGCUGUCUGGGGCAUAACAUGUCAUGAACCACUGCACUAGAUUUGCACUCUAAAGAUAGUUAUAUAUUAGAUAUUACACCUGGAACAAAAAUGAUAUUGACCCUCUUUAGUCUCACAGCAGAUUGUUACAGAAGUUUGGGCCUUGGACAAAAAUGUGUUGUUCCUACACUGACUCCCUGAAAGCAGCUACUUAUAUUUCCCAUUAAUUCUCAUUAAUCGCUGGCACACGUCAGACAGUAGUGUGUAAUGGCCUCGUUGUUUGUCCACUCACCCAAAGACCCACCUCUGUUCCUCUGCAGGCAAUUUAUCAGGUUUUCUCUGUGCACGUUGAAUUUGUCAAAGAGGUAUCAUCCACCAAAUUAUUAUUUAAGUUAUUUAAUAAUGCUUUUUGUUCCAAAUUCUAAAAUACACAUUUUAAGUAAAUCAAAAGUCUCAGAAGACUAAAUAAGGAGACACCCUGAUUACUAACAGGGUUGUUUGGAGGCUGCUCUGUGUGUGCAAAUUGCAUGUUUGCGCACCUGUAAGUCUGUCUUGCUGUGAGUUUCUUUUGUGCAUAAUAUGUACUAUAGAGAGACAGACACAAAAUGUCUGGCAUUGUAGAUGCUUCUCUGGCCUCCUGGAGACUAAGCUAAACAGAUGUUAACCUCUGUUCAAGUCCAUUUGUCCAGAGACUACUCAGAGAGAACACAGACACAUGCAAGACCUACAUACAUCCAUAUAUGAUGCUGUUCACACAGAAGGCAUGCUGGACCUAGGUCUUCAUAUGCACAAGAAUUGACCAUCUGGGGUCAAUCAGAAACACAUGUUCAACCAGAAUAACUCUGGUCACAUAGACUUUAUUUCAUUUCUCAACACAUCUGAAAAUCUAUACUAAUAAUAAUUUGGGUUUGAGACUGAUGAACUUAUAAUAUUACAUAGAAUGUUAUCAAUCCCAACAUGCAUGUACAGGAGACAUAACAUAUCUCUGCAGCAAUGAACAUAGAAAAGUGAAGCUUCUCAGUGAUCUGUGAUAUUUUAAAACAAACAAAUGCAUCAACAAGGGGCUGUGGCAAACCAGGGCUAGCAUUCUGCCUCUUCGGGCCCUAUCUCUGGGUUUCCCCAAGACAAUUCGUUAAGGAUCUAAGACCCCGACCGGGAGGAGUAUUUUGUUGUUUUCCGACCCUAGACCCUUUCCCCUACGUUAUCAAAUAAAAGGAUCAUUUUUGUCAUUGGACUAAUGUGUCUGUCUAUCUGAUUCGGAAAUCUUGCCUCCACAUCCCCUGGUUUGCCACAGUGUCUGUGAGGAACAUUAUCACUGCAGCUCUGGCAGGGUUGCAGUAUGCUGGCUGUCCUUAUUUUAAGCUUAACUCACUAUAGAAAUAUGGGAAGCUUCGUAGAACACGUUAUAUGUUAUGUCAAAAACAUUUUGAGGAAACUUUCCCAUGUAUGUUUUUGAAAAAGCUAAUUCAGCCAAGUCAUUAUAUUAUCUAAAUCAUCACUGUCUUCUUUUAUUGAACUGAUUGAAAUGAGAGCAAGAUAAGCAGGAUGCUGAUGGAUCGAGGAGAAGAGGGAUAUGCAUACAUGGAUUAGCAGGAGGGGAGAGGUAACUUUGAUCCAAACUAAAGGUCAGUGUGGAUCAAACACUGAUCCUCAAUCCUCUGUACUACUGCCAACAUGCCACAUCGUGUGUCUAUGUGUGUUCUGCAGUCCUUUCUAGAAGUCUGGAGUCCCUACGUUUCUGCUUCAAACAGGAUAGGUCAACUAUUGCCACACAUGAAUGCGCGCGCGCACACACACACACACACACACACACUUAACUGGUCUCUUGUGGCUCUAAGUAGCAGUAACACAACGAGUCUCUCCGACUCCCUCAGUCUCCCACGUUAUCAGCUUCUCUUCAGAUUAAUUGGUCGUUUGAAGGCGGAAAACCAUUAGUCACAACAGGGACACAAAAACAGCAGAAGAUCCAUUACAUUAUGUUUGUAAGCAGAGAAAAUGGGUUUCUUUAUUUGUUUAUAUUUUUUGUGAUUCAUCUGAAUUACAAAACAAAAAGUCUAAUUCACGGAUGAUUUAAGUUUUCUGAAAAUGACUCGCUACUCCAGUCACUGAAUUUGGAGCGGGAAGUUGUUCACAACGCUUUCUACUCGGGUAGAAAGGGUGUCACGGUGUGGUUUUAUUUCCUGUCUUAUUUUUUUAGUUUUCUGCUUCUUGUCUCCCUGGGUAACUUCACUUCCUGCCUUGUCCGGUCAUCCCCUGUGAUUGUCUGAUUGUUUCCACCUGUGUCCAAUCACCUGCACCUCCCGAGUGUAUUCAAGCAGUAUGUGUCUCUUGUCACUAGUUUACGUCAUUGUCUAUGGUCCUGGAUGUUCGUAGUUCCUGGCUGCAGUUUUUCCCCUGGUUCCUGUGUGUGUUUUUCCCCCUUGGCCUUUUGCGUUUUGCCUUUUUGACUAUUAAAGUCUCUUUUGUUUAAGAACUCUGCAUUUGAGUCCUGCCUUCCCACGCAUCCUUGACAUUGGGAUGUUUUUUAUAACUCAACCGUGCUUCAUUCUUAAGGUAAUUGAUCUGGAUGAUAGGAAGAUAAAGGAACUAUGGUGCCCCAUUUUCUGAGCAGUAUAGAUGCCAGGUAACAUUAAGCAGGCUACUUGGCAACGGGUAAUUCCUCAUUUGUAGCGUCAGGAAAGAUCCUCAAAGACGGCCAGUGGAUAAUUGGGAGGGUGAGAGAGCGAGACAUUAACAGAAUGUCUGGCACUGAAAAGGAGGGAAACAGAGGGAUGGAAGCAAAGACUUUCAGUGUGAGAUUUGAACAGCAACAGCGGAGGUAGCAGCAGGUAGAGCUAUGGAGAUCAGAACUGACCAACACCAAACCAAAAAUGUUAUCUUAAAUGCAUUUGUCAAAGUUUCGGAGAUUUGGCUUGAAAUGACUUCUUUCAGACUAGCGCAAAGAAAAACAUCUACAUAUUUGGUUGUUUGCCUUACAGUCCAUCGAUUUCUCCUACAUUCACACAAAGUUACUAUUAGAUAACACCUUGUGUGCAUUUUUAUACAUAGAUUUUCAGAAAAUAAUUGUCAAAUUGUAUCAAUUUGACAAUCAAGUCAAAUAGGAAAGUUUCAUAGUGAAAAACCCGGGGCAUAUAUAUAUAUAUAUAUAUAUAUAUAUAUAUAUAUAUAUAUAUACACAUUUUUAAGUCUGUUGACUAUUCUCAUUUAUGGAGUUAUAAAAAGAUAAACACAAAACUACCUAUAUAAUACCUUGAACUCUGUCAACAAUGAAUCAUGAAAAAACUUAAGAUGUCAUGUAUGUAUUAGUAAAUUUUAAUUAUAUCAAAGCUCAUGUCAAAGUAAAUUUAUAUUAUCCUAAUAAAUAUAUAAAACAUUUUCCCUGGACAUUCUCACAGAUUCCAUCAACUGGUGAGACUACGUGAGAUACGUGUCAUCAUUAAUUGUCAGUUUGGGUUUGAGUGUGUUGAUAAAUCUAGUGUCUCCGCGUGUGUGCUUGCGUGUGUGACUAUGAGUGAGGUUGUUUAUCAGAGGUGAUGUUAACAGACAGGCCUCCUGUUCUGAGAUGAAUGAGAAGGCAGAUUGUCGUGAAGCUGAUGAAGUGGCCUAAUGCUCAUUAGACGGCUGCUGAUGGAUGCUUUACAAUGUUAAGGCGGCACUCCAGUAAUGAUGAAUAGAGCUCAGUUUUUAAUGCAGCCGCUCUCUCUCUUUUUUACCUUCCCACUUCCAGAGCAAACAAGAACCCUCAGUGUUUAUUGAAUUAUUUGAUUUAAUAAAGAAAGGCUCAUUAAAACAAAGUAGCACUAAGUGUGCUUGUGAUCAUGUCUGUCAAUAGCACAAGACUAGUCAGACUAAUUGGUUGAUGCUAAUUAUGGGCUAUAUUUUCAGCCAACCAGAAGAAGUUGCUACGUUGCUUCCCACCCAUUAGUAAUACGUAAUCAGGGGAGAAGUGAGGGCUUGAAAUGGACAGAUAAACCACUGCGGUUGCCUGCCUGCUGACAGUGAGAGUGAACAUGGAGGAUUUGGGCACCACUGGAGGCAACAGGAAAGUCGCCUUCUCUAUUCAAUUUACAACCCAGGCUUCAGUUUGUCACAGCAUUGUACUCCGAUAUUACAAAAAACAUGAAUCACAUUUUGAACUAAGCCACAUUAACCUCUUAGAAACCCUAAGCAGAUACAAAAUGCAGAGUAUUUGUCUAACCUGUCACUGCUAUAAGCUUGCCAAAUUAGCUUGUUUCUAAAAAUAAGGAUUGUUUAUUUGUUCUUAUUCUUACAUUGAUUGAACGUUAAGUUUGUUACGGUUUGGGUUCAUGUCUGGUUUUAUUUUGUAGUUCCUUGCCUCUGUUCUCCCUCGGUCACGUCACAUCUUGCCUUGUCCUGUCUUCCCCUGUGAUUGUCUGUCAUGUCAUGAUUGUUCCCAGCUGUGUCCAAUCACCUGCACCUCCCUAGUGUAUUUAAGCCAUGUGUGUCUCUUGUCACUUGUCGCAUCAUUGUUCCUUGUUGUUACUUGUCAGAAGCCCAUGUCCGUGUCCUUGUCCAUGUUCCUGUCUCCUGCUCCCUGACCUCGUGUGUGUGGAGUUUUUGGACUAAUAAAGUCCCUUUUUGUUCUCUGUUAAACUCUGCGUUUGAUUCCUGCCUUUUUCCCCAGCAUACCUUCCUGACACAAUGACGCAACCUUUUAAGGUCUCAGCAGGGUUUUUUCCCCGGGAAGAGUUCAGGGGAACCCGUCUGGCUAUGGGCGGUCGAUGCAGUCUCCCGUGGGCCACCCGUAAUGGGGGAAAGGUCCUCCCUGGGGUUCCUGGCAGAUCGGCCGCAGCGCACAGACUUCCGCGCUGGGCCGCAGCGACCUCCCAACCCCGCUGAGCCGCAGCAAUCCCUCGACCCCGCUGGGCCGCAGCGUAUCACGUCCCGCGCUGGGCCGCAGCGGCCUCCUGAUCUGGCCCCAGGACUCCAGGCCUCGACCCCGGUUCCAGCCCCAAGACUCCAGGCCCCGACUCGGCCAGUCCCGGCCCCAAGACUUCCUGCGCCCCCAGCAGGUGACCCCGGCGUCCUCACGCGCUCCGCAGUCGGCGCCCCGGAGCCAGACUCCUGACGGCCCAACGGACCGACCCCCAGAGGCUCCCCGGCCGACUGACCCCCCGCAAGAAGCCCGCCCGGAGUCCCCCGGGUGGCCCGACCUUCGUCUCUGUUUUGCCUCCCUCCCGCCCCUUGUCUGUUCCUGUCAGGUUAGGGCCACCUAGAAUUUGGGCCUUGAGGGGGGAGUUCUGUCACGGUUUGGGUUCAUGUCUGGUUUUAUUUUGUAGUUUCGUGCCUCUGUUCUCCCUGGGUCACGUCACUUCCUGCCUUGUCCUGUCUUUCCCUGUGAUUGUUAUGUCAUGAUUGUUCCCAACUGUAUCCAAUCACCUGUCCUCCCUAGUGUAUUUAAGCCAUGUGUGUCUCUUGUUACUUGUCGCGUCAUUGUUCCUUGUUGUUACUUGUCAGAAGCCCAUGUCCUUGUCCAUGUUCCUGUCUCCUGUUCCCUGACCUCGUUGGUGCCUUUUUGGAGUUUUGAGUUUGAGUUUUUUGACUAAAGUCCCUUUUUGUUCUCUGCUAAACUCUGCGUUUGAGUCGUGCCUUUUUCACGGCCAGCCUGUCCUCGGGGUUCCACCCCCAGUCCAAUGGCCAGACGGAGCGGAAGAACCAGGAGAUGGAGGUGUCUCUCCGGUGUAUGGUCUCCAGCCACCCGUCGACCUGGUCCAAACAACUAAUGUGGGUGGAGUACGCCCACAAUACACUGGUCAGCUCGUCCACCGGCCUCUCCCCAUUCCAGUGCGCCCAUGGGUACCAACCACCCCUGUUCCCAGCCCUGGAGAGGGAGGUCUCCUGCCCAGCCGUACAGACCUUCAUCCGCCAAUGUCGGCGCACCUGGGCCCAGGCCAGGGCCAACCUCCAGCGGUCGGUGACUAGAUACUCCGCCUCUGCUAACCGCCGACGCUCCACUGCGCCCACUUACCGGGUGGGCCAGAAGGUCUUGUUAUCGACCCAGGACCUUUCCCUUCGCGACGACUACAAGAAACUGGCCCAGAAGUUCACUGGCCCAUUUGAGAUUCUCAAAAGACUGUCAUUGCAAGAUUGUUCUUCGCGUCAUGCAAGUCUCUCCAGCACUCUACCUCGGACUGAUCUCCCGGUUUCGACCCUGCCUGUUCCCGACCCGUUCGUCUGUCUCCGCCCCGGUGAGCACGUCAGCCUUCUGUCCCCGACCACGAGUCCUGCCUGAGCGCCUCGGGUUUCUGUUGCCUGCCCCUUGGACUGCCCGGCGCUUCUGCCCUUGUGCUCCGGAUCCCCGACCGGCCCCAGCGAUCGCACCAGCUGUCUCCCGGCAUCUCCUCCCCGAUCCUGAGGACCGCACUCUGCUCUGCCUCUCAUUGUGCCCGAACGCCUGCUGUGAGGCCGUGUUCAAAUAAAGCGUUAACCGAACACUCCGUGCCGUUGUGCUGCAUUUGGCUCCGCCACACGCCCGUGUCAACAAUGCUGAAGUACUUAUACUUUCUUGCCCACUACAUCUCAGAGGGAAACAUUAUUUUUACUGUGCUACAGCUUUAGAAAGAUGAAACAAUUAUUGCAAUAAAUGAUGAUGAAAAGGGAUGAGCACACUAUUAUGCGCUCUUCAACAUGCCUUUACUUUGAUAGUCCUGUAUGUAUAAACACGUCCACAUUCCUGUUCUGUGCCAGGUACAGGUUUAAAAAAGGGUGUCUAGAUAUACAAAUCAUGAUGUGUUAGAUUAGGCAUAUUAUAUUAAGGCAUAUUGUGUGAUUUUUAUGUAAUCAAAAGAGUGGAAUGUAAUGGUAAAAAUAUAAUACUACCAUAAUGUCUGUUGUAAGCACCUUGAGUCUUCCUUCGGGUCUUCCUCCAUCCUCCUUGCCUGCCUCCAUCCUUUUAGCUUAACAAAAUCUUGUUAUGCUAAAAUGUUAACCCUGUCGAUGUAUGAAUAUAUUUGUGUUGAUCUCAAACAAUAAGAAGAAGCUUGCUGCUUCCUAUCGAUUGUAUAGCUGUUGCAGACUUCUUCUUCUUUGCAAGAAAUAAACAGAAAAUACAACUUUAUAGACUUAGAGACUUUAUAACUGAUUCCUGAUUGCAUGAGAAAAUCUUCCACUACCAUUCUCAAUCGUUUGAGGAAAAAUUGAGAGUGGUUGUAUAGCACACCAUACUGAUAGAACUAAAGAUUGGCAUGAGACUAAACAUUUGCAUGAGACCGUGUAGUGAAUAACGUGCAUGCAUUAAUGAACGUUACUUAGGACAAAGAAAACCCGGCGUUGAGUGCAGGUUAACCGUUGCAUUAUGGAUGCCCGAGGGAAAAAAAAGAACUUAAUAUAUUUCAAUCCGGAGAGACUUGUUGAAAUUUGAACAAUGCUUUAUUAUAACAGGUAUAAUAUGAUAUUACAAGUUGUUUGGGGCUUGGACUCCAUCCUGCCGCAGGAUAGACCCGGGGCCGGGAUCUCGAGCCGAGACGAGGCAUAUCCCUCCCCUUGGGAGUCCAGACACUGGUGGUGGUGGUGGUAGAGCCCAAGUUGCAUAACUCUCCUGCUAUGCCAGGUUCUGCUGUAGAUUGGAGGUGUCAGGGGUGGUGGCGGGUCACCUUUGGAGCGUGCUGAAAUGACAACUGACAGCACAAGAGAGGAGAACAGUUUUUAACGGUUGCCUGCCCCAAUGCGAUUGGUUUACGGUAACGACACCCACGUCUGAUACUACCCGACCCCGCCCCUAAUCAGCUGGCCAUGCGCCCCUAGGGAGAGAGAAGGCAACCAGGGAACGGCACAGCCUGUCCAGUCUUCCUGACUGAAUUUUCGCCUAAGCUUCAUAUAAUAUAUUACAUGACACCCUGUGAGUGUGAUUGUCGGCCCUGUCCCUGAUUGUUUUCUCCUGUGUUCACCAGCACAUUUCUAGUGUUUUUAAACCAUGUAUUCCUUGUCUCUUUGUAAGUUUUUUUGUCUAUGUGGGUGUGUCAUGUUGGAGAGUUUGUCUGGUUUGCAUUUUCUUCUUGGUCUCCAAUUGCCUCUAAGCAUUUGGAUUAGGGUAAUAAAGUAUUUUUUGAUGCUAAAUCUGCGUUUCAGUCUUCCUGUCUCCGGGAUCUUGACAGCUGGUGGCACUACAGAAAGUCAGGUUUUUACCAAAGACAUUGGGAUUAAUUCCCUGGGGAUAAAUACAGGAUAUUUUGAAAUUUACACCCAAUAGUUAUUGAGGUACACUGAAAAAAAUGAUUUUUUGGUAUAGUAGUAUUUAUUAGGUUAAUUGUCACAAUUUUUAUUUUGUUUUUUUACGUUGUGUUGGUUGGUUGGUUUACGUAGUGAAACAUGCACUUUUUAAAUAACCAUAACUUGCUAAAUUUUUAACCGAUUCUUGAACGGUUUGGUUUGUUAUAAACGUCAGAUGUAGGUAUGCAACUGCAAACUUAUAGAUAGUUAUUAUUUUUAUACUAUAAUUAUUAUUAAGUAUACAGUGUCAUAACUACAUCACUUUUUUUGUCCCUCCCACGAGGUUGUUCCUCUCCCUUACAACAGUAUUAUUCAGUGUUUUCAAUAAUGAGAGGCAGGAAAUAAAGUUCAGGAAUCACUAGAGUGGUACAUGAUGUCCAUAAGGCCUGAUUUACUACAGUUUGUUUGUGAGUGUAAAAGCAAACUUCAGCUGUUAUCGAAAUAUUGAUGUUUUUGGUAACUUGAAUGAAAAAAAUAAUCUGUACUAUGCACCUGAACAUGGAUCCAUAUAUAUUUUACAGGGUAUCAGUAGAGAGGCAGCUCAAGAAGACCAGGCUGAGCCCUGAGUCCUGAGGAUCUGUGUCUACCACACAAGUGAAGAUGAAGGUGCAUUCAACGCUGAUGUGUCGAUUUUUGUUGAAGGGACUGAGGUAUUUGACAACGGUGGAAGUGUUGCAAAGGCCUGUCUCCUGCUGAUGGCCAUCAUUUAUGCCAUGAACUUGAGUUACCCCCCAAAAAUAAAGUACACUUUUGAAGUGUUCCAAAAGCUUCUUCUAGAGCUUGAUGUCCUUAAGCUGUCCCCGAAGAUCCUGUCCCUGCAAAACAAGCUUAUAGCUUGAGUCUACAUGUUUGAAGAGUUGUUUUUUCAAAGGGGGCACUAAAAGAAAAAAAUGGCACAUUUGUUUAUGUGGCCAGUUGUCUAUGUUCUGGUUUUAAUGGUUAUUUAUAUUCUUGCACUGUAUUAAAGCGUGCUGUCUCCGGGUCAAGGAAGGAAGGAGAAAAGAAUAAUUUCCAAAAUAAACCAAAGGUUCUCAACUGGUGGGUUGUGGGGCCAUUGUCUAAGGGUCACAGAUGUGAGUGCUGUCUUGGUGUUUGCAAACCUUUUGGAAAACAUUUUAUUGAAAAAUAUACAUUUUUUUAAAUAAAGGUGUUGAAUUAAACAAUUGCCUAAUUUUAUUUUUUUAGUAAUUGUUUCAGUACACAAAAACAUUGAGAACAAAUUUAGGCAAUCUAAACUGCAGAAAAUUAUGUAAAAUGUUGUGUAAAUGUUACUUACGUAUAAUCUAUAAAUAAAAAUUAAAAAAGGUAUUUCAAAUAACCUUGAAAAGCCAUUGAUUUUUAGGUGAGAUUUUUCUGUUUGAAGCAGUCAGAGUCUGAGUAAAACUUACAAAGAAGGACAGAGUAAAAUUCAAUGUCCAUAUUAAUAAUAAUCAGUAAAUUACCUUAGGUUUGCUAGUAAAAGUAACUUAUAUCCUGCAAGUAUGAUUUACUUGAUGACCGUCCUUGUAGAAUUUACUUCACUUUCUAAGUGCAAAAACUUUCCUAGGUUUUAUUAAGUAAAUAGUACAUUUUUUUCAGUGUAAUGGACCAAUAUUGACAAGCUGACACCACCAAGCUGUCAUCCAAAGUGUGGCUGAAACGGAAAAACACAACAAAAAGUAAGAUAUCAUGAUGAAGACGAACCCGAGAGUGGAGAAAAAAAGCACAUACGUAAAGAGAAGGACAAUUCAACACAGAUAAUAAUUCACUGGGUGAAGCUCAAUGAUUGAUAUAUUAUCACUAUUAUAGAUGAGAAGGAGAAAGAGAGACAGAAUAUCAUAUUGUGCUAUUGAUUUCCUACAGGCAAGAAUAAACAGGCUCUGAAAUUAGGCUUUGAUUUGGCCAGGCAGCAUGAUUAGUUUAUCAAUAACAAAGAUGAAAAACAAUCUUUAUCUGACGCUCCCUGUCAUCUUACUUUAACUUUGGCCCUCUAUCUGCUUCUAUAAAAUGUUCCUUUGGUGGAUAAACCAAUAACGACACCGACACAGUGGCUGGUCACUUUCCGUGGAGACAAUAUUUGAAUGUCUUGGCUCUGUAAAGUGUUUUCUGCUGUCCUCACAAUAUUGUCUGCUCGUUAAUUGAAGCUUGAAGACGUCUCUUCAUUGAACAGACUGCUGUGAAUGCCGCAUUAUACACUGAAACUAAUAAACUGCUAAAAAAAAGCCAUACUGGUUUAGUUAUGACGACAUGAAAACAUGUAAAUGAAAAGCGUUAUUGUCCUUAAACAGAAUUAACACACAGACUGUCAGAGUAGACUGUCACUAAUGUAGGUUUAUUUCUGAGGAGCGAUUCAAUGACGUUUGAAAUAGAGGAGUCUCAGUCCUGAUUGCUCACACUGCUGUUGGUUCAUAAAACACUCACAAAUAAAAUACAUAUCUGUCCUGCGGCGACAUUACAAACCAUCCCAACCCCUCAGGUCGUCUCUGACGGGUCUCUUUUCUGUUUCCAGAGUGAAAACCAAACACGGAGCAGCAUUCUGUUUUUCUGCUCCACAUAUCUGAAACAAACUCCCAGAAAGCUACAGGUCUGCUGAGACUCUCAGCUGCUUCAAAUUAAGACAAAAUCAUUUUCUUAUUCGUUUUACCUUUUAAUUAUACCAGAUUCAGAAUGAAGUGGAUGUUUUUUUACAUUAUUUCAUGAACUGCACUGCAGCUUUUAUUCUAUUUUAAGCUGGUUCAUCUUUUGUAAAGUACUUAGUAAUUUGUUCUCUGAGCUAAACAAUUGCCUUGCACUGAUACAUAUAUAAUUUAUAUUUUCUUGACUUAUUUCCUGCAGUGACUUGAAUCAGAUCCCCUGCGGUUGUCGAGGUUCAGAAGGCUUGAAUGAACAAGGGGCACUACAAGUACUGGGACUUUCCAACGUGAUCUCCAAAACCUAUUUGUAAAAACGAAAAUCUUGAACAUACAAAUUCGUAACAAUACAUACGAACUGGCGGUGGUUAACCACGCCCCUUGAGUGAACAACAUGGCGGACCAUGUUGGAUUCUUGAGUGAACGUCUGUCCGCCAUGUUGGAUUUUUUGAGGGGGUUAGGGUUAAUAUUGUAUUCUUACAAUUUAACAUUGAUUUCUCGUUAAAAAUGCAAUCAUAACACGUUUAUUUUACAUCGUUAGACUUCACAAAGUGUGUUUACGGGGUGCAGGUCCCCAUUCACUUUGAAUAGGGUGACGUCAUCAGUUGCAGUCCGUAUUUAUUUUGUAUGUAUCACUACGAAUUUGUACGUUCAAGAUUUUCGUAUACAUUUCGUAUACAUACACAGGUUUGGGGGAUCAGGCUGGACUUUCCGUAUCUUUCAUUAUUUUCUUUAUAGGAUAAACAAAAUAAAUUGAUUCAAUAAAACUUAAAAAAAUGAAUAACGCGUAACUAGCUAAAGUGGACUAAUCAAAAGGAUUUUGAUUUUGGUUUAAAAAGAUUAUUAGCGUUCAAAAAUGCAUUCUACAACAGAAACCAAGCAUGUGUGCCAAUAAUUGAACAGCAGAAAUAUAAAGCUGUACCAAUUGGAAUUCUUGUUCUGAGUUCUGAAAGAUGCAAGUCAUCAUACUGGCAGACAAAUGUCCUCUCAAAGUACAUAAAUUAGAUUUAUAAGCCAUGCAAUAAGUAGUUUAAAAAGUAGUACUUUUUCAUAACAAUGACGAAGCUGUAGCAAAGCGCUUUCAGUUAACCUAAUAAUAAACUUUAAAUAUAAUAUACUUUGUUGAAGCCGCAGUUCUAUAAAACUCCAAUUUGGCUGAGAGCUAGACAAAAAAAGUGGGAAUAAAGAGCAAAUAUGACAGAGGGAUAAAAGGAUGAAGAGAGAAUAAAAAACAAGGAGAGACAGAUUCAGUACUCAAAAGAUGAAAUGCUGGGGCAAACCUGAAAAGAAUACUUUGCGUGCUUCAGUGAAUUUCAUUCCGAAAGGGGGUCUUGGAACAGUUGACUGUGUCACGUAGAGGCAAAGACUGAUUUGUUAUGUGAAUACACACAUAUCAUUCAAUUGGAGCUGCAGCAGAAUUUAUGAAAUGUAGGAAAUUAUUUGCAUUCAUAAUAGACUACUAACUACUAUUCUUAGAAAGAAUAAACAUAAGUAAUGACAGCAAAUAAGCUAAAGAGGCUAUAACCAAUACUGCAGCUUGUUUUACACUUUCACAUGGAUUAUUAUUUGCCAACAUUACCAGUUUGAUCUUCAAAUUGAUGUAGGGCGUCUUAGUAGAUGCAAUACUGUUUCAUGUUAAGUAAACAAAGUCGUGAUAUUAAACUCAUUUAAUUAAAAAACAAAGUAAUAAAAAAGGCAUAACGUGAUAAAAUGUGGACAAUGGCGUUAGGCCUCCUACUUAAAUAUCAUUAACAGUUUCCUGGUGUCUAUGGGUUAAAAUGUUAAUGUAUUCAUAUACAAGGAAAGAAAACAUUUUUGUCCCAUUAUUACAUCGACAUUAUUAAAAUGGUAUUAGAAAUGGAUAUACAGUGGAUAAAUGUCUACACACGGUUAAUUUGCCAUGUUGUGUGAUGUUUAAAAAAAAAUGAGACAAGACAUUAUGUCAGAACUGUUUCCACCUUUUAAUGUGAAUGUGAAAAACUUACAAUAACCUCGUUGCAUGAAUAUGCACACCUUUUCUUUUAAGCACUAUUUUAUUUUAUUACAGCAAUCAGUCUUUUGGGGUAGGAGUCUAUACGCAUGGCACAUCUUGACACUCUUCCCCUCCAAAUGUGUCAGAUUGCAAGGGCAUCUCCUGCGCACACCGCUCCUCAGAUCACCCCACAGAUGUUCAAUUGGUUUCAGGUCUUAAACGUCUUCUGGUAAAGUCAUGCUUUUGUUGAUUUGGAUGUAUGCUUUGGGUUGUUGUUGUGCUGAAAAGUGAAGUUCAUCUGUCAAACUUCCAACGGAAGCCUAAAGGUUUUGUGGCAAAAUGGACUGAUAUUUGGAUCUAUUCAUAAUCCCCUCCUUCUUGACUAAGGCCCCGGUUCCAUCUGGAAAAAAAGAGUCUGAAGCAUGAUACAGCCCCCUCACACUGAUGCAGUGUUGUUUUCACGCCAACCAUACCUUUUGGAAUUAUGGUCAAAAAGUUCAACCUUGGUUUCAUCAGACCAUAACACAUUUUCUCUCAUGCGUUUGCAAAAUUUAGCUCGUCUUGGUUGUUUUCCUUAUAACCUAUGAAGGAUACGGGCGAUUGUUACACAGCCAUUACUUGCCAGAAAUCCAUGCUACCUCCUUUAAAUGUUGCUGUAGGCCUCUUGGAUGCUUCCCUAACCAGUUUUCUUGUAUUUUCAUCAAUAUUGGAGGUAUGUCCAGUUGUUGGUAAUGUCACUAUUGUGCCAGAUUUUCUCCACUUGAUGAUGCCUGGCUUAACUGUGCCGCAUUGAAUAUCCAAGUCCAAGUCUUGUAACCACUUGAAACUACAGUGAGAUCUAUCUGAUGCUUUGGAAGCUGUCUACAGACCAUGGCUUUUGCUGUAAGAUGCAACCAAGAAAAUGUUAGUAAAAUCUGUAUUCACUGUUAUUUAACAUGAGUUUAAAUAUGAUUGAUUAAUUCUGAACACAGCCACAUUCCCAUUUAUGAGAGGGUGUGCACACCUUUUUAGUUUUAGAUUUUUUCUUUCUUUUAUUGUUUACAUUAUAGGUCACAUAAACAGUGGGAAACACUGACAUGUGUUUUUUUACAUCACAAGAACUGGCAUUGUAACAGGAGUGUAUAUACGUUUAUCACUGUGCACACCAUGGAUUCCUUGUUUUAACGCAGAUCACAAAUAUGUAUGUAGACCUAAUGAAGCUACUGCUGGUGUUGUGUAUGAUGUCUUUCUUAGGAUUAUUUCCUUCCCAAGGGGAAAGGGCUAGAACUAAAUAGUAACUUCCUUCCUUUUGCACUAUAAAGAUGUUUUUGAAAAAUGCUGGUGUUAAAAUGUUAGGAAUUUAUGCAGAAGAGCAUACUUAGCAGUGGUGUGGGAGCUACUAUUUAGUUAGCUUUUUGUAUUGGGUUUAAUCAUUUUGUCACUAAUUAUGUGUAGUUUGGUUAAUUGUUUGGGUAAUUGGAUCAGUAAUUAAUUGGAUAAUACUGUGGGCACAUGGGGGUUAUUUAAGGGCAUAGCCAGGUAUAGGACCAGCAUGCACCUGGGUGACAGUUUUUUUACCAGUGAGACAGCGAGGCAGAGCACUGCAUAGGAAGGCAGCCAAGCCAAUUGUAUGUGUUUGUUGCCUUCUUUGUAAAUAAAAUCUGAACAAAAGGAACCGAUUGCCUGGACAACACACUCUCUUGCUGCGUGACAAAAACAAAUAGUAGGUGCAGCCAGUGGCCUUUUGAUUUAAAGAUUUGUAGGAGAAAUGGAAUUUCUCCUACAAAUUUGCAAUUUGCAAUUUGCAAUUUGAAUUAAACACUAUUCAUAGUAAUUGAAUUACUAUACACCUAACAUUCUGCUACAAUGUUAUUUUGUCGCUAAACCAAAGUUAGAGCUUAGGGGAAAGACGCUAGAGCCUUCCCUGAUGGAUUUCUUCCACAUAUUCUCUCCAAAGAGGGUCUUUUGGAAGUUUCUUCUCCUGUUAGGCUGUUUAUGAGCAAUACGAUGUAGCACUGCCAUCCAUCCAUCCAUCCAUCUUCAACCGCUUAUCCGGGGUCGGGUCGCGGGGGCAACAGCUCCAGCAGGGGACCCCAAACUUCCCUUUCCCGGGCCACAUCUACCAGCUCUGACUGGGGGAUCCCAAGGCGUUCCCAGGCCAGUGCAGAGAUAUAAUCUCUCCACCUAGUCCUGGGUCUUCCCCGGGGCCUCUUCCCAGCUGGCCGUGCCUGAAACACCUCCCUAGGGAGGCGCCCAGGGGGCAUCCUCACCAGAUGCCCAAACCACCUCAACUGGCUCCUUUCGACGCAAAGGAGCAGCGGCUCUACUCCGAGCUCCUCGCGAAUGGCUGAGCUUCUCACCCUAUCCCUAAGGGAGACGCCAGCCACUCUCCUGAGGAAACCCAUUUCGGCCGCUUGUACCCGUGACCUAGUUCUUUCGGUCAUGACCCAUCCUUCAUGACCAUAGGUGAGGGUAGGAAUGAAGAUUGACCGGUAGAUCGAGAGCUUUGCCUUCCGGCUCAGCUCUCUUUUCGUCACAACGGUGCGGUAAAGCGAGUGCAAUACCGCCUCCGCUGCUCCGAUUCUCCGGCCAAACUCACACUCCAUCUUCCCCUCACUCGUGAACAAGACCCUGAGGUACUUGAACUCCUUCACUUGGGGUAAGGACACAUUCCCUACCUGGAGUAGGCAAUCCAUCGGUUUCUUGCUGAGAACCAUGACGCUCGCUGUCGGGCCCUCCAUCUGGGCCCUACAUCUGGGCCUGGCUCCAAAUGGGGGCCCCGGGCUUCCUCCGGGCCGGGUAACUCCUUCCCUCUUCCGUUUUUUCAUAGGGUCUUUUUGAACCAUUCUUAGUCUGGCCCCUCGCCUGAGACCACUUUGCCAAGAGUAACCCUACCAGGAGCACAAGGCUCCCGACAACACAACCCUCAGGGUCAUAGGGACACACAAAUCUCUCCACCACGAUAAGGUGACGGUUCCCAGAGAGGAGUUGACAAGUAAAUUGUUAAAAGUGUAACCGCAGGAGUGAGGUUAGUUGAAGGAGGACGUGAUGUGAAUUUGAAUUAGAGCUCUGGCCUCACUAACCUUGUGGGAGGGGAAACCGGUGUAUCUGCUCUCUCAGUGACGUCCUGUCAUGCCAAGAAUUAUUGUUAAAUUCUUCCACACAUUGACGGUAACAAAGGGAAGAUGAUGGAGAACACUGGGGCGUACUGUAGAUGAUACAUUGAGGUGGAAAAGAUGAACGAGGGGUGGAGGUACAGAGGUCCGCUGUCACAGUACGAAUAAGAGGCACCCUGCUGUGUAUGCUUUCACAGCAGCUUGUUUGUUUAUUUGCCAUUUGUUUGUUCUCUUGUCUUUUUAUUUUCCCUUGUACUGGGAGGCUCUGAUGGAGAAUUAGCUUAUCUGCUCCAACCUGUCUGCUACCUGUCCCUCUUUCUUUUUUAAAAUGAUUGUAUUGGCCCAUCCCAGGUCGACUGCGAAUGCCGGGUUCUCAUGAGUAUGCGGCUCACCAAAUGAGACAUAGCCUGUUUGUCUGUGUUCCCUUCAUGGGUGGGGCGCCAUCCUCCGUCCACAACAUUAGCCCGUUCUACCCAGCUGCCUUCUAUCUACUCAUCACUCCACAGCAUAUCUACCCCGAUUUCUGAUCCACAACGCCAGAUUGUUGUAAAACCGUCAGUGGUAGAACUUGUUCCAGGUUGUACAUAGAAGCCUGUUUUGGAGUAUUUUCAAAUGCUUGAAUAUAUAUACUUGUCUUGUCUCCCUGUGGCCACAGUGUUGGAUCAUCCUCCCGGUUCUCUCGGUCUGCCGGCCUUGCUCUGUCUGGUCUCAUCACCUUGCUCCCCACCAAUUCCGUAUACUUUUCCACUGGUAUCCUGAAAAAAAUUGCUCUCACUGGUUUAUGUUCACGACACUUGAAUUGAAUUAUUGUAAUAUAAUCAGUGCACCAAAUGCUAAAUGAUGCAUUCGGCUUUGUGUUUGCUAGAUUGUAGGUGAUGGUGACCAAUAUUGUCUGGUUCAUAAUAGUAUACACAUUGAAAAAAUCUGUCAUAUAUAUAUAUUCCCCUCCUUGUCUGACUUAUAGUUUUCCUUUUUAUAUUCUUCUCAUCUCUUUUUUUGCCAAUUUACAUUUCUUCAUUCCUCCUAUUUUUGAUUUUCUCCUUCACAUCUCCGACUCUGCAUUCUCUUUCCUACCUCCCUCUUAUUUUCCUUCGUCCCUGCGCAUCAUUGUCAUCGUUGCCUGUUUCCUCUGCUCUUGGGGUGGGAGAUUAACCCACAGAAUGCUAAUCUGUAGCUUAAUAGGCAGCUGAUCCCUUUAAAAUGCCAUGCUUCGGAGGGUAGGAGAGUAUUUACAUGGCCUCUAGCAAAUGUGCUGCACCAAUGGGAAAUUAAUUACCCGGCCCAACUCUUAGAUGCUUCCAAAUCUGCCCCUUCUCUCUCGUUCUUGCUCUCUCAUUUGAUUUCCAUUCAAGAAUUAUUUUUAAACAAUGAUGUUGCAAAUUAUGAGAAGCGUCAUGGAAAUGGCAAAUUUCAAAGCCACAAUUAUUUACACGUUCUUAAAGAAACCUUUUAUUUCAUUAUUAAAUAAUUAGAAAAGAUAAUGCAAAAAAAACUGGUGGAAAAAUGAGCCUUGGGUUUGGCACAGGGUUUUUUGUAAAUGCAUUUUGUUCAACUAAUUGAAAAAUGUUCUUUCGGCAGGAACUUCAGCGGUGCAAUAUUCAAAUCUCAAAGAUUGCACUUUCAUUGCUUUUUGUCUUCAAAUAGAAACACGAAAUGGUCUGCCUUGAGCAUGCCCCUCUUUAGAGGUCGGUCGCCAAAAUAAAGCUGAAUGAUGGUUCAAAGCAGACACAUGUAAUGACUGAAAUUCUCUCUCAAGGGACAAUAUCUACUUUUGUAUAUUCCUUUGAUAUCAUUUUUUCAUUUGACUUUUCAAGUGUGAUAGGAGUUUUGACGGGAGAAAAGGCUUGGAGUAGUUGAAGUUCUGGCUGUUUCUUUUACAGUUGGGAUUUUAAACUGCGUCAAUAGAGCCAAGCUGCUCCCACAAAUCUUACAAAACGUAAAAAAAUCAUAAUUUGUUGCUUCGUCCUCUGGUGCGGUUCUUUUAUCAACUAAAUCAAUACUGCUACCUGUCUCGUUGUCCCCUAAAUAUAAGCUUAGUAUAUAUAUGGCAUUUUUUGGGGGUAUGGAGGUAUGCCCGUUUUUAAAACGGAUGAUAUUGUUAUCAGACUACUGUCGAUAUGUUUUUUAUACAACAAUAAAAUGUUAGAACUAUCAUGGAAAGGACGCUGCAAAAGAUUUAUUAUGAUCCAGCACACCCCGGCAGGCUGGGCAGUGUGGCUAAACUGCAAUGCCGUUAGAGAAUGUACCGGUGUGUGUCAAUGUCCGCGGUUAAUUCAUUUUCAACAAGACGUGUAUACUUGCCGAGUUUACUUGCCAAGGCAGCUGUACAUAUCAGAUAUAUGGAUGUGGUUCAAGAUCUCAUAGGCGCCUAUAACAAUUGAAUGAAAAGGUUGUCUUCAACCAUCUAUACAAGUUUAAAAACUCAGAAGUGUUUAGGAAGGGUUAUAAACAAACAUUCACCGGUUAGCAUUUUAUAAUAUCAAAGUGUAUAACCAGAGAUCCGCCUACGGCUUACUGACUGUCGGCGAAAAGGGCAUUUUACGAGAGGGAGUUGCAAAAUGUAAUUAUCGGUAAAAACAAAGUAAUUAAAUUAAAAAACCUAUUGGAAAGAAAAAUCUGAAGGAGCGAGAAACAGGUGCUAGUAAAAUUACAAAAAAAAAAACACUACACGUCAUUUAGCGGACGCUUUUAUCCAAAGCGACUUACAAUAAGUGCAUUCAACCAUAGGGAUACAAACUCAGAGUAAAAAACAAAAGUGCAAUUUCCUCAAAAAAGCCAAUUUACAUUUUGCUAUAGAUAAGUGGCGUUACAAGUACAAUUUAAGUGCUACAAUUUGUAGUCUAUUAGUCGAGGGUAGAGUCUGAAGAGGUGUGUCUUUAGUUUGCGGCGGAAGAUGUGAAGGCUCUCUGCGGCCCUGAUGUCAUCAGAGAGCUCGUUCCACCAUUUCGGAACUAAAUCCAGGACUACUAAAGUCUUUGCACUGGACCUAGGGGUUUAUGACUGUUUACAGGCAACAACUAAAGCGAUUCAUUUGAGAAUUAGUAGUUACCCUCCUUUGGCAGGUAUAUGCAUAACAGCAUUGUUAAAAACUGCAUUUACAUUCUGGAGUAGCAAAGGAGUCAACUAUAGCCUUUGAAGGACAGCUGGUGGCAAUACUGGGUUUUAAACAACACCUUUUCCAUUAUCCACUAAUAUCAAAUCCUUUAAUACCAAAUUCCUAGCAGACAUUCAUGCCGGUUGUUACACUUUAUACGUAUAUAGCAAUAUUGUCGACUAUCAAUUAGUUGGUAACAGCUAUGUACCGCUCCUUCGCUGUUUAAACUUUGCGAAUGAACAAUGUCGUUGGUAGAGACUCACAGGGCUUUGGAAAGACCGGCCACCGAUUGUGGAGGUUGUUGAGGUAAAAACAUGAGACAUGUCAAAAAGAAGGUCGGCACAGAUCCAGGCUGUUCCCUGAUAAAACGCUCCCGGACUCUGGCAAAAGAAACUAUGGCUCUCAUUCAUGAUCAAUCGACAGAAUUCAGAACUGGAUCUCUCUACGGUUCCUUUCACGCAAAUGUCCGUCGAGAGACAUAUUCUCAUCAAAAUCCCUCCCAUCUCAGCCAUAACAGACAGCGGCCCACUGGAGUUUCAUAUCUCUGCCAGUGGAGAAGAUUACUUUACUUUUUGACGGGGUUAGGGUUAGUAUUCUAUUCUUACAAGUUAACAUUGAUUUCUCGUUAAAAAUGCAAUCAUAACACUUUAUUUUUACAUCGUUAGACUUCACAAAGUGUGUUUACGGGGUGCAGGUCCCCAUUCACUUUGAAUAGGGUGACGUCAUCAGUUGCAGUCCGUAUUUAUUUCGUAUGUAUCACUACGAAAUUUGUAUGUUCAAGAUUUUCGUACACAUUUUUACGAACAGGUUUUGGAGAUCAGGCUGUGAAGACGCAGUUCAGCAGCGCCCUGUUUAGUAAAGACACAGCUGAGCAUAUGGACGAUGCGUCUAUAAAAAGGGGACAAUGAGGGAUUAGCGAGGAGGCCACACCGGAGCAAGCCGCAGUCGAUUUAAUUGCUCCCAAUACCCCAUUCUCUCUGACUGCGGCAGCUGCACAUUACAAGGUUAAGAUUGUGUCAGCCAGUGUAUUUGUGAAGAAAGUUUCCAUAGCUCCUAGCAGAGCCCUACAACAGACGAAUGCCAAAUAUGCCAUUGACCGUUACAUUGAAAACAUUCUCCAUGCAACUAGGAGAAUCUUUAUAUGGGGCACCUUACAUUUCAUGAAUGUCUUCACAUACCCACUAAACAAUGUGUCUGUCUUAUUGGGGAAAUGCCAGACUUCAUCAUUAUGAUGAUGCAUUUUGGGCAUUGAUGGACACAAUCCUGUACCCCUUUUCCACAGCCUUCUGCAGCUCAAGUGAGACCCACACCUCCGACAGUUGUCGGCUAGUGACAUGACUAGUUUAGUUCAAAGCCUCAGCACACUUGCCGCACAGCGGGAACAUGAGUUUUUCAUGACAUCUGUAGACGGACUGAAACAAACCUCUGGGUGGGAGCACCCUAUAUGAGGCCGAAGUAAUUAUUGAUAGAUUCAAAAUCCUUGUCUGACGGGAUACUGUUUUUUCUUUUUUGCCUGUACAGUUGGAUACAGACUUGUAUCUGAUUUUUUCAUCACCAUCAUUGCUGACCCAAUGGUACAUUUUCGUAGCAUUCGUACGCCCACUAAAGAGAGCCUUUCUAGGAUCCAGACGUUCGUGCUUUUGUAUGUGGCCAUAAAGGCCUGUACAGGAGCACUGGACAGUUUUAAUGAGGCCUACUCACAACAUUCAAACCAUAUUUUUGCAGGCCAUCUAUUUCAUCCAAACGCCUUGUAUUGUCUAACAAAUGGAACUUUGGCGACUGGGUUCUUGUCACUCUGUACGUGACAUUUGAAACAUAUAGAAAAAAACAUCCAGCAAGUUCAUAACAAGUGUUUGUUACAGAAUUAUAACCGUCCACAUAGAACGGAGCAAACUGCUCCCCAUGGUUGAGGGCAUGUUUCUUCUGUGUGAGGCACAUAUUCAAGCCACUGCAUGGAAACAUCAGAAUGUUUUAUUCUGUGCUGUGUACGCCCCUUCAUACGUCAGAGCCACUGUGUCCCUUGGGAGAAACAAUGUUUUAAACACACCCAUACAGCUCAAUGCCAACGUGGUGAAAGAGAAAGGGUCAAGCUGGGGGCACUCUAGGAAUGUUCCACGAUAGAUUGAUCAUGCUCUUCGCAAUACCUCUACAUCAUUGACACAGUAGCUUCUAAUGUAGCUAGCUUCUAGCUUCAAAUGUUCCUCGCAAACGGUGCCGUACCGUCUUAUGAAUGCAGUUUUUUCUUGUCGUAUCCGUAGAAUGAUGGAUACGGGUAUUUCCCAAAAUAGUAUUCACUCUCCGUAGCGUUGAACUUGUGGGGAAAAUACCCCUACUCCACGUCCUCCAACCCCAAUGCUGAGGGUGUUUUUGACAAACGCAUAGGGAGAAAACUAAAUGAGUCAACCCAUCUCUGCUGGUAUGCCUUGUCAUACAUAAGCAUGACCCGGCUCCCACUCAUGGUCACCUGGGGCAUGACGAUCUGUUUUACAAAAUAUUCCAGCACUAUAUAGUUGUCAAAUCCAGAUGCAUUAUGGGCUAUGAAUGUAUAGCCGUUGUAUGUAAACAUAUCCUCUUUCCCUCAAGAUCCAUUGCACAUACAUGAUAUGCCUCGUACUUACCAUUAUGAAAUUGUGUCUCAAAGUCAAACAAUAUGUAGGCUGUUUGUGGAUCUUUCUUUUCAAUGGGUUGAAUGAAACAUUUCUGCUCGUCCAUUCGUUGCUCCUCACAGUGUAAACAAACAUUCGGCAUGCAUUUUUACCAUAUCUGUAUGUUUUUCCACAUGCCCCACACUAUUUCAUAGCGUCACAAGGUAUGACUGCUUGUAGUGCUUCUGGAAGCUUGUGUUGAUCAAAACAUUUACAUAUGCGUUUACAGUUGUUGCAUUUGAUGUGCGUGUUCGAGACACUAAUAUAACUGACGUGCCAAAGUUGUUUACAAUUGUGGUAUCGGGUCUCAUAUGUUGGGUCUUGGUGAAA
ensembl:lncRNA